GACGAACGUUGGCGGCGUGCUUAAUACAUGCAAGUCAACUGAAGCAGUGGUAGCAAUAUCGCUGUGGAGGUGGCGCACGGGUGAGUAACACGUAGGUAAUCUGCCUUCAGGUCUGGCAUAACUCCGGGAAACCGGGGCUAAUAGCAGAUGAUGCAGCGGCUCGACAUCGAGACAGUUGUUAAAGCUAUGGCGCCUGAAGAUGAGCCUGCGUCUGAUUAGCUAGUUGGCGGGGUAACGGCCCACCAAGGCAACGAUCAGUAGCUGGUCUGAGAGGAUGAUCAGCCACACUGGAACUGAGACACGGUCCAGACUACUACGGGAGGCAGCAGUAAGGAAUAUUGCUCAAUGGGAGAAAUCCUGAAGCAGCAACGCAGCGUGAGGGACGAAGGGCGUUUGCUUGUAAACCUCUGUAGUGAGAGAAAAAAAUCCCAAUCUUUGGGACAUGAUGGUAUCUCAAAAGUAAGCCCCGGCUAACUACGUG
rnacentral:rRNA from 1 species